rnacentral:rRNA from 1 species
ACGAACGCUGGCGGCGUGCCUAAUACAUGCAAGUCGAGCGAAGUUUUUCUGGUGCUUGCACUAGAAAAACUUAGCGGCGAACGGGUGAGUAACACGUAGAGAACCUGCCUCAUAGACUGGGACAACUAUUGGAAACGAUAGCUAAUACCGGAUAACAGCAUUAACUGCAUGGUUGAUGUUUAAAAGUUGGUUUUGCUAACACUAUGAGACGGCUUUGCGGUGCAUUAGCUAGUUGGUGGGGUAAAGGCCUACCAAGGCGACGAUGCAUAGCCGACCUGAGAGGGUGAUCGGCCACACUGGGACUGAGACACGGCCCAGACUCCUACGGGAGGCAGCAGUAGGGAAUCUUCCGCAAUGGGCGAAAGCCUGACGGAGCAACGCCGCGUGAGUGAAGAAGGAUUUCGGUUCGUAAAGCUCUGUUGUUAGGGAAGAAUGAUUGUGUAGUAACUAUACACAGUAG